AACGAACGCUGGCGGCAUGCCUAACACAUGCAAGUCGAACGAGACCUUCGGGUCUAGUGGCGCACGGGUGCGUAACGCGUGGGAACCUGCCCUUAGGUUCGGAAUAACUCCCCGAAAGGGGUGCUAAUACCGGAUAAUGUCUUCGGACCAAAGAUUUAUCGCGUUUGGAUGGGCCCGCGUUGGAUUAGCUAGUUGGUAGGGUAAAAGCCUACCAAGGCGACGAUCCAUAGCUGGUAUGAGAGGAUGAUCAGCCACACUGGGACUGAGAACCGGCCCAGACUCCUACGGGAGGCAGGAGUGGGGAAUAUUGGAAAAUGGGCGAAAGCAUGAUCCAGCAAUGACGCGUGAGUGAUGAAGGCCUUAGGGUUGUAAAGCUCUUUUAACCGGGAUGAUAAUGACAGUACCGGGAGAAUAAGCCCCGGCUAACUCCGUG
rnacentral:rRNA from 1 species